rnacentral:rRNA from 1 species
AAUGAUGAAUGUCAUAGAUUAGACAUCUAAUAGUUUAUUCUAUAAAUGAAAGUGUAAGCAUUCCACCUCAAGAGUAAUUUGGCAACAUUGGAACUGAAAUCAUUAGACCGUUUCUGAAACCAGUAGUGAAGUAUGUUGUUUAAUUUGAUAAUCCGCAAAAAACCUUACCACAAUUUGAAUAUUUAUAUAUUUUCUUUAUCUAUCUUUUUAUAAAGAAAAAAAUACAUUUACAAGCGUUGCACGGCUGUCUUCAGUUAAUGUCGUGAGACUUUGGUUAGUUCCAUUAAAUUAACGUAAACCCUCACUUUAUUUAUAUAUAAAGUAGUUCCCCACUAGAUUGGAUAAGAUAACAGGGACUAAGACAAGUCAUCAUGGCCUAAAUAUUGU